AAAGAGAUAGUUUAUGUAAAAUGCUAGUUUUGGGGGCUGGCGAUGGGGGUUUAUCAUCCUCUCUUUUGA
rnacentral:tRNA from 1 species